UACGUAGGGGGCAAGCGUUAUCCGGAAUUACUGGGUGUAAAGGGAGCGUAGACGGUAAUGUAAGUCUGGAGUGAAAGGCGGGGGCCCAACCCCCGGACUGCUCUGGAAACUAUGUUACUAGAGUGCAGGAGAGGUAAGCGGAAUUCCUAGUGUAGCGGUGAAAUGCGUAGAUAUUAGGAGGAACACCAGUGGCGAAGGCGGUUUACUGGACUGUAACUGACGUUGAGGCUCGAAAGCGUGGGGAACAAACAGG
rnacentral:rRNA from 1 species